CAGAAAUGCCAGAACACUAAUCCCUCAGAGCAAAUCUUCUCAUUGCUACACUUUGACUAACAUGUUGCUGUGAACAGGACCUGGAAAUGAACAUGUCUGUUAGAUGUGGAGCUUCACAUGUUGCCAUGCCUUCUAAAGAUGUCCACUAAGAACCUGUUUGAAAGUUCAUGAUAAAAAAAUCAUGUGUUGAGGCAGAAGGGUGGGAAGAGACUUUUCCAGCUGAGCUGCAUCUUCCUGGAGCAGGGUGACCCCUAGGGGCUUCUAAGAAAAGCUGGCAAAGAAUUCGGGCGUUGGUGCUCUGCGCCGUGCUCUACCUUGCAGAUUUGCUGUCCUUGGAUUUUACCUACUGGUAUCCCCAGCCUGAACUCUUUCUGUAUGUCGAAGGAUACGUUCCCAGCAAUACUGUCUUGUCUUCCAAAGGGAUAUCCAAUAAGUAGAAUAAAAUGUUUUAACUGA